GAUCCUGGCUCAGGAUGAACGCUAGCUACAGGCUUAACACAUGCAAGUCGAGGGGCAGCAUGGAAGAAGCUUGCUUCUUCUGAUGGCGACCGGCGCACGGGUGCGUAACGCGUAUCAAACCUGCCUCAUACUCGGGGAUAGCCUUGCGAAAGUAAGAUUAAUACCCGAUGUUGUUAUGUUACCGCAUGGUGAUAUAACCAAAGAUUUAUCGGUAUGAGAUGGUG
rnacentral:rRNA from 1 species